ensembl:lncRNA
CGCGCUACGAAGACUCUAAAGAUACACCUUAACUACAGCUGAAGCUGUUGCCCCCAUCAAAUUGAAAAAGGUAAGAGUAAAACAUACUGUGCCAUGGCACAACAGUAAUACCCACUCUCUCAAGAAAGAAACUCGUAGUUUUGAGCACAAAUGGAGAAAAACUAACUUGGAAGUUUUUAGAAUUGUGUGGAAAAACAGUAUGUCCAGCUAUAGACAGGCUCUAAAAACUGUCAGGGCCAAGCAUAUCCACAAACUCAUAGAAACAAAUUAGAUUAACAAAUAACCAGAUGCCACCCGAUGUAAAUAUUCCCUCACAGUUAAAUAGUAAUGACUUUAUGAAUUUCUUCACUGAUAAAAUAGAUAACAUCAGAAAUACAAUAACAAAUGUAGAUUCUGCAGCGUCUAAUACUUCAGUUUUAUCCAUCGCACCCAAAGAUAAACUGCAGUGCUUUACAACUAUAGGACAGGAAGAGCUAAAUAAACUUAUCACUGCAUCUAAACCAACAACAUGUUUAUUAGAUCCUGUACCCACUAAAUUACUGAAAGAGUUGUUACCUGUAGCAGAAGAACCGCUUCUCAAUAUUAUUAACUCGUCGUUAUCUUUAGGUCAUGUCCCAAAACCAUUCAAGCUGGCGGUUAUUAAGCCUCUUAUUAAGAAACCACAACUAGAUCCUAGUGAACGGGCAAAUUACAGACCCAUUUCAAAUCUUCCGUUUAUGUCAAAAAUUUUAGAAAAAGUUGUGCCUGCUCAAUUGUGCUCCUUCCUGCAAAAAAUUUUUAGGCCCCAUCAUAGCACAGAAACGGCACUUGUUAAAAUUAUAAAUGACUUGCUUCUUGCGUCAGACCAAGGCUGCAUCUCAUUGCUAGUUGUACUUGAUCUUAAUGCUGUGUUAGACACCAUAGAUCACGACAUACUCAUAGAUCGAUUACAAAAUUAUACAGGUAUUCAAGGGCAGGCUUUAAGAUGGUUUAGAUCCUACCUCUCCGAUCGCUACCACUUUGUUUAUUUAAAUGGGGAGUCAGCUCA